rnacentral:rRNA from 1 species
GACGAACGCUGGCGGCGUGCUUAACACAUGCAAGUCGAACGGUGAAGCGCCUUCCUUUUUGGUGGGUGUGGAUGAGUGGCGAACGGGUGAGUAACACGUGAGUAACCUGCCCCCUUCUUCUGGAUAACCGCAUGAAAGUGUGGCUAAUACGGGAUAUUCUGGGUCUGUCGCAUGAUGGGUCUGGGAAAGAUAUUGUUUCGGUGGGGGAUGGGCUCGCGGCCUAUCAGCUUGUUGGUGGGGUGAUGGCCUACCAAGGCGGUGACGGGUAGCCGGCCUGAGAGGGUGGACGGCCACACUGGGAAUGAGACACGGCGCAGACUACGACGGGAGGCAGCAGUGGGGAAUAGUGCACAAUGGGCGCAAGGCUGAUGCAGCGACGCCGCGGGAGGGAUGGAGGCCUUCGGGUUGUGAACCGCUUUCGCCAGUGAAGCAGGCCUGCCUCGUUUGUGGGUGGGUUGACGGUAGCUGGAUAAGAAGCGCCGGCUAACUACGUG